rnacentral:ncRNA from 1 species
GUCUUCAGGGCGGGGUGCAAUUCCCCACCGGCGGUACAGCCCGCGAGCCGAAAGGCAUGACUUGGUGAAAUUCCAAGGCCGACAGUAAAGUCUGGAUGAAAGAAGAU